rnacentral:rRNA from 1 species
CCUACGGGAGGCAGCAGUGGGGAAUAUUGCACAAUGGGGGAAACCCUGAUGCAGCGACGCCGCGUGAGUGAAGAAGUAUUUCGGUAUGUAAAGCUCUAUCAGCAGGGAAGAAAAUGACGGUACCUGUCGAAUAAGCCACGGCUAACUACGUGCCAGCAGCCGCGGUAAUACGUAGGUGGCAAACGUUGUCCGGAUUUACUGGGUGGAAAGGGCGUGUAGCCGGGCUUACAAGUCAGAUGUGAAAUCCGGGGGCUCAACCCCCGAACUGCAUUUGAAACUGUUGGUCUUGAGUAUCGGAGAGGCAGGCGGAAUUCCCAGUGUAGCCGUGAAA